rnacentral:misc_RNA from 3 species
UAAUUGCGCGUCAACAUGUGAACUGCAGGAUACAUGAACAUUGACAUUUCGAACGCACAUUGCGGUCCUCGGAUACUGUUCCCGGACCACAUCUGUCUGAGGGUCGUAUAUCAUAACCAGACUGCUGCUUGCGUAACGUUUGACGAUACAGCAAGUCAGCGAAUGAUGGGGCACAAGUUAAAUGUUAAUUCGCUUAUGCGUGCCCCUAAUAUAUCAUACAUAACGUGUGAGCCAGUCCCGUCUGCGUUUACGGCUGUUGCUGUUCGACGUCAGGGCGUGGGAUUACGGCGGGUUGUGUGUCCUAGAUUGACUUCUUCGACUCUCCCGAUACCGGAAACCCGCACUACUCGAUAAAGUAUGUUCGGCUGACAUUCGGGGCGACUAAAAGGUUCCUCGUUCAAAACGCGCAAGAUGUUUUUAACGUCGAGCGCGAUUUACUAAAAACGACCUCAGAGCAGGUGAGAUGACCCGCUGAAUUUAAGCAUAUUAUUA